rnacentral:lncRNA from 1 species
UCGAUUCGUUCCAAAUUUAAACUCUCUGGGCAUAAUAGAACAAUAUAGUUUGGUUUUACUCUUUAUUCGAUUGAAUGAGAAAAAGUAUUCGUUGCAAAGUUAUACUGUUAUGGCGCUACUGAGUAGUCUAAUUUAGUUCCGGUUUUGGUUCUUGUGAACUUUGACAUCGAUUCGUUCCAAAUUUAUACUCUCGGGGCAUAAUAGAACAAUAUAAUUAGGUUUUGCUCUUUGUUCGAUUAAAUGAGAAAAAGUUCUAGCUGCAAAGUUAUACUGUUAGGGCUCAACUGAGUUGUCUAACGUUGUUCCGGUUUUGAUUCUUGUGAACGUUGACAUCGAUUCGUUCCAAAUUUACGCUCUCGGGGCAUAAUAGAAAGCUUUUACUCCUUGUUCGACAGAUCGAGAAAAUGUACUCUUUGCAAAGUUAUACGUUAUGGCGCAACAGAAUAGUCUAAUGGUGUUCCGGUUUUGGUUCCUGUGAACAUUGACAUCGAUUUGUUCCAAAUUUACUCUCUCAGGGCAUAAUAGAACAAUAUUAUUAGGUUUUACGCUUUAUUCGAUUGAACGGGAAAAAGUUCUCGUCGCAAAAUUAUACUGUUAUAGCGCAACUGAGUAGUCUAAUGUAGUUCCGAUUUUGGUUCUUGUGAACGUUGACAUCGAUUCGUUCCAAAUUUACACUCUCGGAGCAUAAUAGAAAGCUUUUACUCCUUGUCCGAUAGAAUAAGAAAAAGUUCUCGUUGCAAAGUUAUACUAUUAUGGCGCAACUAAGUAGUCUAAUGUUGUUCCGGUUUUGGUUCUUGUGAACGUUGACAUCGAUUAGUUCCAAAUUUACUCUCUCGGUGCUUAAUUGAACAAUAUUAUUAGCUUUUACGCUUUAUUUGAUUGAACGAGUGUCACGCCCCUAGACCGAUGCCAAUUUGGCCCGACCCGAGCACGCCAAACAGACGACGAACGGAUAGAGUUUUCCCUGUCCGCCCAAGGCUCAUCACAUGUACAUUUUCCUCAAUAGAGAAAAGCACUAGCGGAAACAUACAUAAACGGCUUACACGAGGGUAAGCAAUAGCCAUUAGUGAAAGAACGGGAAACUAAACAUCUACACAAGUAAUAUGAUUCAUUUUAGAUCAUAUACAUUGCAUCCAUUUCUUACAUUUAGGAUUCUUUGCAUUUCAUUACAUCAUUUCAUCAUUUCUUUCUUCCAUCACAUUUAUCUCAAAAUACACAUUACAUUCUUUUCUUUACAUUACUAAUCAUUAUGUACAAAAGAUGAACAUAGGGUAGACACUAUCAAAAUGUAAACCCAACUCAACUCUGGUGGCCUUUGUCUAAGGCGCGAUACCUUUACCUCGGUCACUCGCCGGCUCGCUCGGCCCCGGCUCUGUGGAAAUAGUGGGGUGAGAGCUACAACAAAGUUUCCAGUGGGUUCGGCCUCAACAUCACCGACUUUCCCACUAGGACUAACUCAGGCAUAAUAGAAAGAAUAAGCUGUAUAGUAACCAAUCUAUAACAUGAUGCUAAUAUGCCUGAAAAAUAAACAAGAAGUAUGCUCAACAUUAAACAUAUGCAGAUUAUGCAAGUUCUUUUGUUCUUUACACUUUACACUUUACACUUUGUUCUUUGCUCUUUGUUCUUUACUCUUUAAUCUCAAGGCUAACCCGGGGGUGUCGCCACAUUAACUUGCUUCACAUUAAGUCCAUCAUCGCAGGAACUCACCCGCUAGGACCGUCCUUCGGGUUUACUCCAACCCGUAAUGCAUAACUCCGGAGCGCAUCGCCCGAGGGGGAGCGACCGCUCUCGAGCACGGAACUCAUAGCAAGUAUGAUCAUAUCCUUAACUCAAAGGAUUUAUAUGAUCAAUCUUGACUUUUCACUAGCUCUAGUGUUCUUUCAUCACUUUAUGUUGCAAACUCUUGCAAUCACAUUCUUUACAUUUCUCUAUUCUUGCUAGCUCUAGCAUUCUUGUUCGUUACAAUACUUGUUCUUAUCGCCCCACUUUUCUUUAAUCUUACACAUUGUCAUUUUCAUCACUCUUUACAUCACGUUAGUUCUUUACAUCACACUAACUUUAGUGUCUCUUUACUUUACAUUUUCAAAUGCCACUCGAUCUAUGUCAUGGUGUCACACUGUUCUUUUGCUCACUUUGGGUGCUCACUUUUCUCUCAUGCAUACACAUAGGGUUUUUGACGUUUACAUAGUUCUUAUUCAUCAUAUUAUGCAAGUUGAACGUUGACAUCGAUUCGUUCCAAAUUUACACUCUCGGGGCAUAAUAGAAAGCUUUUACUCCUUGUUCGACAGAUCGAGAAAAAGUACUCAUUGCAAAAUUUUACUGUUAUGGCGCAACAGAAUAGUCUAAUGGUGUUCCGGUUUUGGUUCCUGUGAACAUUGAUAUCGAUUUGUUCCAAAUUUACUCUCUCAGGGCAUAAUAGAACAAUAUUAUUAGGUUUUACGCUUUAUUCGAUUGAACGAGAAAAAGUACUCGUCGCAAAAUUAUACUGUUAUGGCGCAAGUGAGUAGUCUAAUGUAGUUCCGAUUUUGGUUCUUGUGAACGUUGACAUCGAUUCGUUCCAAAUUUACACUCUCGGGGCUUAAUAGAAAGCUUUUACUCCUUGUCCGAUAGAAAAAGAAAAAGUUCUCGCUGCAAAGUUAUACUAUUAUGGCGCAACUGAGUUGUCUAAUGUUGUUCCGAUUUUGGUUAUUGUGAAGGGUCACAUCGAUUCGUUCUAAAUUUACACUCUCGGGGCAUAAUAGAAAGCUUUUACACCGUGUUCGAUAGAAUAAGAAAAAGUACUCAUCGCAAAGUUAUACUGUUAUGGCGCAACUGAGUAGUCUAAUGUUGUUCCGGUUUUGGUUCUUGUGAACGUUGACAUCGAUUCGUUCCAAAUUAAAACUCUCGGGGUAUAAUAGAGCAAUAUAAUUAGGUUUUGCUCUUUGUUCGAUUGAAUGAGAAAAAAUACUAGUUGCAAAGUUAUACUGUUAGGGCUCAACUGAGUAGUCUAACGUUGUUCCGGUUUUGGUUCUUGUAAACGUUGACAUCGUUUCGUU